CUAAUGUGACAGAUUAAUGUAAUAAAUUUAAGAUUUAAAUAUGAAAUAUUUCCUUUAGAAA
rnacentral:tRNA from 1 species